UCACUUUAGCAGAACGUAUACAAAAACUGGAACAAUACUGAGAAGAUCAGCGUGGCCUCUGCCCAAGUACGAACCACAAGUCAUGAAGCGUUCAACAUAUUU